AGCAACAAUGUCCCAAAUCUUUUUGGUGGAAAAAAAGCAGCGGCAACAUCUAUCAUCUCUGAAAACAUUCAUCUGCUAGCCACUUGUUUUGGGAUUAAUCUAGGGAGUGGACAAAGAACAUCAACUAACAAGCUAGCAGUCUAUCAAUAUCCAUUUUAGUUAUUCAUCUGCUGCGCUAAUAUACACAUUACAAGAGCAGAAGAACUCAAUGUCCAUAAUUAUUAUCCAAUGGCUUCAAAUUUGCUAAUAACCAUUACUUAAAUGCAAAAGAUGACAGCCAAACUACUUGCCAAAUAUGAGUCCACUUGAUGCUACCUAAAUAUAAUAAACAAUGAACUUACUUUUGAUUCCAUAACAUCUCCAUAUUUCUGUAGCUCUUUUGCAACAGCAUUCAAACGAGAAUGGAGCUCAGACUUCAAUCCUGGAAGGACCAUUCUGAUAUGCUGC
rnacentral:lncRNA from 1 species